rnacentral:rRNA from 1 species
UGAGGAAUCUUGCGCAAUGGGGGAAACCCUGACGCAGCAACGCCGCGUGAGUGGGGAAGGUCUUCGGGUCGUAAAGCUCUGUCAGGCGGGAAGAAAUGCAUGGAGGUGAACAGCCGCCAUGCUUGACGGUACCGCCAGAGGAAGCACCGGCUAACUCCGUGCCAGCAGCCGCGGUAAUACGGGGGGUGCAAGCGUUGUUCGGAAUCAUUGGGCGUAAAGAGCGUGUAGGCGGCUUGGUAAGUCAGAUGUGAAAGCCCUGGGCUCAACCCGGGAAGUGCAUUUGAAACUGGCAGGCUCGAGUAGGGGAGAGGGAAGUGGAAUUCCUGGUGUAGAGGUGAAAUUCGUAGAUAUCAGGAGGAACACCGGUGGCGAAGGCGACUUCCUGGCCCUAUACUGACGCUGAGACGCGAGAGCGUGGGUAGCAA